AUGGCCGUGUGGCUCACCGGCAGUGUGGUCUUGGGACCCCCUCAUCUGCGAUGUCUCGUGUGCAAAAUAGCAAUGAGACUCACCUGCUGUGGACAGGAGAUGACGGUGGACCACGUCCUUCUGCGUUGGGCCCAUUUUAUCCUGGACGCCAUUUUCAUCCUUCCAGAAACAAAAACCCAUUGCCCAAGGAACAGCAUCGUGUACUGUGGACCGUGUGACCAGCUUGUCAAAAUAAGUCAUAAUUUCCCCCUUCUACGCGAUCAUGCUGAGCCAGUGCCUGGGCCUGGCAUCUGUUCCAGCCUCCUUGGCGUCGCCCUCUGCCUCCUGACCUCGGACCGCUGCAAAGUUAGCGAGCUCCGAGCCUUCGUGAAAAGGUGUAAGCAGGAUCCGCACGCUCUGCACACCGAAGAAAUGCGCUUCCUGAGGGAGUGGGUGGUGAGCAGGGGAAGUACAGUACCCCCUGCUGCUCAGAAAGCUAAAUCAGAAGAAAAUAUCAAGGAAGAAAAACAGACAGUGAGAAGACGGAGGAACACAUAAAGACAGACGAGCCGUCAAGUGAGGAAAGUGAUCUAGAAAUUGACAGUGAAGGUGUGAUUGAACCAGACACUGAUGCCCCUCAAGAAAUGGGAGAUGAAAACCUGUCCCGUACCCCAACAGAGAUGUUGGAUGAGGAAAAUGAGAAGAAAGUGGGUGCCAUUGAAGCUCUCGGGGAUGGUGAGCUACAGAAAGCCAUUGACUUAUUCCCCCAUGCCAUGAAGUUGAGUCCUCGUUUUGGCCACUCUGUAUGCCCAAAGGGCCAGUGUCCUCACCAAACUGCAGGAGCCAAAUGCUGCCAUCCCAGACUGCGACUGAGCCAUUGGAAUAAAUACUGAUUCAGCUCAGCCUUACAAGUGGCAAGGGAAAGCACACAGGCUUCUGGGUCAAUGGGGAGAAGCAGCCCAUAAUCUUGCCCUUGCCUGUAAAUUGGAUUAUGAUGAAGACGCUGGUGCCAUGCUGAAGGAAGUUCAACCUAGGGCCCAGAGAGUUGCGGAACAUCAGAGAAAGUAUGAAGCCAAACGUGAAGAGCGAGAGAUCAAAGGCUAGAAAGUUUAAGAAGGCUUGGGAGAGCAUGAGAGGACCCAGAGGGAGGAAGAAGCCAGAUCACAGUGGGCAGUUGGGAGCUCAGUAUGGCUCUUUUGCAGGUGAUUUUCCUGGGGGAGUGCCUGGCAGUUUUCCUGGGGGAAUGUCUGGAAUGGGAGGAGGCAUGCCUGGAAUGGCAGGAAUGCCAAGACUCAAUGAAAUUCUUAGUGAUCCAGGGUUGUUGCAGCCAUGCGGGAUCCAGAAGUUAUGGCGGCCUUCCAGGAUGUGACCCGGAACCCAGCAAAUAUGUCAAAAUACCAGAGCAACCCAAAGGUUACGAAUCUCAUCAGUAAACUGUCAGCCAAGUUUGGAGGUCAAGCAUAAUGCCCUUCUGAUAAAAAGCCCUUGCUGAAGGAAA